AUUGAACGCUGGCGGCAGGCCUAACACAUGCAAGUCGAGCGUGAAAGUCCUUCGGGAGUGAGUAAAGCGGCGGACGGGUGAGUAACGCGUAGGAAUCUACCUAGUAGUGGGGGAUAACGUUCCGAAAGGAACGCUAAUACCGCAUACGUUCUGAGGAAGAAAGCAGGGGAUCUUCGGACCUUGCGCUAUUAGAUGAGCCUGCGUCCGAUUAGCUAGUUGGUGGGGUAAAGGCCUACCAAGGCGACGAUCGGUAACUGGUCUGAGAGGAUGAUCAGUCACACUGGAACUGAGACACGGUCCAGACUCCUACGGGAGGCAGCAGUGGGGAAUAUUGGACAAUGGGCGCAAGCCUGAUCCAGCCAUGCCGCGUGUGUGAAGAAGGCCUUCGGUUGUAAAGCACUUUAAGCGGGGAGGAAGGCCUGAUGGCU
rnacentral:rRNA from 1 species